UGAAUGGAGUCGUUCUUAACCAAGGUUCCUCACAAAGGUGAAUGAUUUCCUGCUGCAAAGACUGUGAGGCAUCAUUUUUCCAAUUAGAAGUGUUGCUUUGUCAUUGGACUACAUAUAUCUGGAUACCAUAAUGAUAAUGGACUUGCUUCCCUUUUAAUUUCAUGAUUGAGCAUUUAUAUCCUGAGUUAGACCCAGUCUGACAAAGGCACUGACAUGGAGGAGCUCAUGGUCUGAUGGGGAUAACAGGUAAAAACUACCCCCGUACCAGUUACUCUGGGUGAAGAAAGGCGUCUAUGUUUGGCAAGGACUAAGGAAUAUUUGACUUCAUGAAUCAAUAACUAUUCUCAAAGCUGCUAUUGACCUCUGAUCUGCAAAUCUGUCAGCAAAGAGAGAUU
rnacentral:lncRNA from 1 species